rnacentral:rRNA from 1 species
GACGAACGCUGGCGGCGUGCCUAAUACAUGCAAGUCGAACGAAGCUGUUUUAACUGGUGCUUGCACCGACUUAAACAACUGAGUGGCGAACGGGUGAGUAACACGUGGGUGACCUGCCCCAAAGCGGGGGAUAACAUUUGGAAACAGAUGCCAAUACCGCAUAACCACAGAAACCACAUGGUUUCUGUGUCAAAGAUGGUUUCGGCUAUCACUUUGGGAUGGACCCGCGGCGUAUUAGCUAGUUGGUAAGGUAAUGGCUUACCAAGGCAAUGAUACGUAGCCGAACUGAGAGGUUGAUCGGCCACAUUGGGACUGAGACACGGCCCAAACUCCUACGGGAGGCAGCAGUAGGGAAUCUUCCACAAUGGACGAAAGUCUGAUGGAGCAACGCCGCGUGAGUGAAGAAGGUUUUCGGAUCGUAAAACUCUGUUGUCAGAGAAGAACGUGUGCGAGAGUAACUGUUCGUGCAGUGACGGUAUCUGGCCAGAAAGCCACGGCUAACUACGUGCCAGCCGCCGCGGUAA